GCCGGAGUGGCGGAACUGGUAGACGCAGCGGACUCAAAAUCCGCCGGGGUAACCCCCCGUGAAGGUUCGAUUCCUUUCUCCGGCACCA
rnacentral:tRNA from 1 species